rnacentral:rRNA from 2 species
CAGUGAAAUUGAACUCGCUGUGAAGAUGCAGUGUACCCGCGGCAAGACGGAAAGACCCCGUGAACCUUUACUAUAGCUUGACACUGAACAUUGAGCCUUGAUGUGUAGGAUAGGUGGGAGGCUUUGAAGUGUGGACGCCAGUCUGCAUGGAGCCGACCUUGAAAUACCACCCUUUAAUGUUUGAUGUUCUAACGUUGACCCGUAAUCCGGGUUGCGGACAGUGUCUGGUGGGUAGUUUGACUGGGGCGGUCUCCUCCUAAAGAGUAACGGAGGAGCACGAAGGUUGGCUAAUCCUGGUCGGACAUCAGGAGGUUAGUGCAAUGGCAUAAGCCAGCUUGACUGCGAGCGUGACGGCGCGAGCAGGUGCGAAAGCAGGUCAUAGUGAUCCGGUGGUUCUGAAUGGAAGGGCCAUCGCUCAACGGAUAAAAGGUACUCCGGGGAUAACAGGCUGAUACCGCCCAAGAGUUCAUAUCGACGGCGGUGUUUGGCACCUCGAUGUCGGCUCAUCACAUCCUGGGGCUGAAGUAGGUCCCAAGGGUAUGGCUGUUCGCCAUUUAAAGUGGUACGCGAGCUGGGUUUAGAACGUCGUGAGACAGUUCGGUCCCUAUCUGCCGUGGGCGCUGGAGAACUGAGGGGGGCUGCUCCUAGUACGAGAGGACCGGAGUGGACGCAUCACUGGUGUUCGGGUUGUCAUGCCAAUGGCACUGCCCGGUAGCUAAAUGCGGAAGAGAUAAGUGCUGAAAGCAUCUAAGCACGAAACUUGCCCCGAGAUGAGUUCUCCCUGACUCCUUGAGAGUCCUGAAGGAACGUUGAAGACGACGACGUUGAUAGGCCGGGUGUGUAAGCGCAGCGAUGCGUUGAGCUAACCGGUACUAAUGAACCGUGAGGCUUAACCUUACAACGCCGAAGGUGUUU